GUGAGACAGAGGACAGCAUGGUGUGCCUUGUGUUACUUCUCUGUACUGGGAGAUCAUCCUUAUUGAGAAACUUGGUUGUUUGCUGCUCAAUUAAGGAUUUUGGUUAUGGGCUUCCUUUUCCUUAUACCUCAACUCAUGCUAUGGGAAUAAUGUGGAGGUGCUAUCAUUGAAGAAGAGACUGAUGUACCUGGGCCUAUGGGACACUUCAUGUUAUGUGUCUGGACUUUAUCACAACAAUCAGUAUUCUUUACAAUUAUAAGGGUUUCUGUGGUUUAUUUUACCUUGGGUUAAUGUUUGAUUUCUACUACUGUUGUUUUAUUUCAUUUUUGUGUUUUUUUUGUGUAUGGUAGCAAUGGAAAUCUAUGUAGUAUAGAACUGUAUUGACAAGUGUUGGUUUUGGAUAUGUUAUGUUUGAAUGAAAACAAGAACUUAAUUGGCAAA